rnacentral:rRNA from 1 species
AUACGGAGGGUGCAAGCGUUACGCGGAAUCACUGGGCGUAAAGCGCGCGCAGGCGGCUUGAUAAGUUGGAUGUGAAAGCCUACGGCUCAACCGUAGAACUGCAUCCAAAACUGUCAGGCUAGAGUGUGGGAGAGGAAGAUGGAAUUAGUUGUGUAGGGGUAAAAUCCGUAGAGAUAACUAGGAAUACCAAAAGCGAAGGCAAUCUUCUGGAACACUACUGACGCUGAGGCGCGAAGGCGUGGGGAGCAAACAGGAUUAGAUACCCCAGUAGUCC